UGGUCUUAAGACACGUCCUCAUCCUAAGAGUGCUUCGAUAAACAGGCCCAUUUUUGUUCAUCUGCUUAUAGUAUCAUAGCCUUGCAGGUAAGCUAAACAUGUAUUAAGCCAUAUCGAUGGAGUACAACUUCUGUUCAGUAUUUUUAAAUGAAAGGAAACAAUAAGCUUUUCAUGUUUGUUAAAGAGUAAGAUUUUUUUGGGUUAAUAUUGUAUUUCCG
rnacentral:lncRNA from 1 species